UUCUCAAAUCUCAUCCCAUCCCAUCCCCUUCUCUCCCGUCUCUACUCCCCCACCGCGCCCCGCCCCUCCCACCGCUGCGAUCUGCUUCGCCGGACCACUACGUCCCCUUCCCCCGCCGCGAUCUGCCCCCCCCAUUUCCACACCGGUUCUUUCUCCCCCCAAAUUCCCAAAUCCUAAUUUCACAGACUCUCCCUCCCCCGUGUCGAUUCGCCGUCCCAAGUCAGCGCCGCCGCCCCUUCUCCUUUCCCCGUUUCAACACCAGAGUCUCCCUCCCUCGCUUCAAUUCACCGCAGUCCGGCCCCAAGUCAAUGUCGCCGCCCCUUCCUCCCGUUUCAACACCUAGCUCUCUCUUCCCGCAACAGCCCUACCCCCAAGUCGGCGCUGCCGCCAAUGGCUGCCUUGCGUCUGGCACCACCGCCGUCAAUCCGUCGGACAUUACUUGGCUCCGAAACAGUUCUUGAUUAGCCAUGGUAAGUAUUCUAUUAGGAAAGAUUAUAUUUGAUUAUUAUGAAUAUGGAAUGAUUAGUGUGAAUUUUAGAAAGAACAAAUUUUGGAAAGAAUCAUUAUGCAAUACGAUUAUAUGAUUUACCUAUCAAUCAAUAAGCAGCCAAUUUAGAUACAAA
rnacentral:lncRNA from 1 species